CAGUAGCCGCGGUAACACGAAGGGGGCUAGCGUUGCUCGGAAUUACUGGGCGUAAAGGGCGCGUAGGCGGCGCUCCAAGUUAGGCGUGAAAUUCCCGGGCUCAACCUGGGGACUGCGCUUAAGACUGGAGUGCUUGAGGAUGGAAGAGGGUUGUGGAAUUCCCAGUGUAGAGGUGAAAUUCGUAGAUAUUGGGAAGAACACCGGUGGCGAAGGCGGCAACCUGGUCCAUUACUGACGCUGAGGCGCGAUAGCGUGGGGAGCAAACAGGAUUAGAUACCCCGGUAGUCCCUGUCUCUUAUAC
rnacentral:rRNA from 1 species